rnacentral:lncRNA from 1 species
AGAAUACUACAGCCCCGAUAACAGAUACUACAGCACCCGAGUAACAGAACACUACAGCACCCGAGUAACAGAACACUACAGCACCUGAGUAACAGAACACACAGCACCUGAGUAACAGACACACUACAGCACCGAGUAACAAACACUACAGUACCUGAGUAACAGAAUACUACAGCACCUGAGUAACAGACACUACAGCACCAGAGUAACAGAAUACUACAGCACCGAGUAAUUUGGACAUAUUUGAUCAGGUCAGUAGUGUGACCUUCUCCUCCUCCUCCUCAGUAUGUAUGUGUGUGUGUGUGUGGUGUGUGUUGUGUGUUGUGUACUGACUGACCAGGACCAGUUUGAGCAGGUCAGCAGCGUGGAUCUUCUCCUCCUCAGUACGUGUGUGUGUGGGUGUGUGUGUGUGUACUGACUGACCAGGACCAGUUUGAGCAGGUCAGCAGCGUGGAUCUUCU